rnacentral:rRNA from 1 species
UACGUAGGGUGCGAGCGUUAAUCGGAAUUACUGGGCGUAAAGCGUGCGCAGGCGGUUUUGUAAGCCAGAUGUGAAAUCCCCGGGCUUAACCUGGGAAUGGCAUUUGGGACUGCAAGGCUUGAGUGCGGCAGAGGAGACUGGAAUUCCUGGUGUAGCAGUGAAAUGCGUAGAUAUCAGGAGGAACACCGAUGGCGAAGGCAGGUCGCUGGGACGUGACUGACGCUGAGACGCGAAAGCGUGGGGAGCAAACAGG